rnacentral:rRNA from 1 species
AUACGUAGGGUGCAAGCGUUAAUCGGAAUUACUGGGCGUAAAGCGUGCGCAGGCGGUUUUGUAAGACAGAGGUGAAAUCCCCGGGCUCAACCUGGGAACUGCCUUUGUGACUGCAAGGCUAGAGUACGGCAGAGGGGGAUGGAAUUCCGCGUGUAGCAGUGAAAUGCGUAGAUAUGCGGAAGAACACCGAUGGCGAAGGCAAUCCCCGGGGCCUGUACUGGCGCUCAUGCACGAAAGCGUGGGGAGCAAACAGGAUGAGAUACCCUGGUAGUCCACGCCCUAAACGAUGUCAACUGGUUGUUGGGUCUUCAUUGACUCAGUAACGAAGCUAACGCGUGAAGUUGACCGCCUGGGGAGUACGGCCGCAAGGUUGAAACUCAAAUGAAUUGGCGGGG